rnacentral:rRNA from 1 species
UACGUAGGGCGCAAGCGUUAUCCGGAAUUAUUGGGCGUAAAGAGUUCGUAGGCGGUUUGUCGCGUCGUUCGUGAAAACUUGGGGCUUAACUCCAAGCGUGCGGGCGAUACGGGCAGACUUGAGUACUACAGGGGAGACUGGAAUUCCUGGUGUAGCGGUGAAAUGCGCAGAUAUCAGGAGGAACACCGGUGGCGAAGGCGGGUCUCUGGGCAACAACUGACGCUGAGGAGCGAAAGCGUGGGGAGCGAACAGG